rnacentral:rRNA from 1 species
UACGUAGGGGGCUAGCGUUGUCCGGAUUUAUUGGGCGUAAAGAGCGUGUAGGCGGCCAGGUAGGUCCGUUGUGAAAACUCGAGGCUCAACCUCGAGACGUCGGCGGAAACCCUCUGGCUAGAGUCCGGAAGAGGAGAGUGGAAUUCCUGGUGUAGCGGUGAAAUGCGCAGAUAUCAGGAAGAACACCCGUGGCGAAGGCGGGUCUCUGGGCCGAUACUGACGCUGAGGAGCGAAAGCGUGGGGAGCGAACAGG